rnacentral:rRNA from 1 species
AACGAACGCUGGCGGCAUGCCUAACACAUGCAAGUCGAACGAGACCUUCGGGUCUAGUGGCGCACGGGUGCGUAACGCGUGGGAACCUGCCCUUAGGUUCGGAAUAACUCCCCGAAAGGGGUGCUAAUACCGGAUAAUGUCUUCGGACCAAAGAUUUAUCGCCUUUGGAUGGGCCCGCGUUGGAUUAGCUAGUUGGUUGGGUAAAAGCCUACCAAGGCGACGAUCCAUAGCUGGUCUGAGAGGAUGAUCAGCCACACUGGGACUGAGACACGGCCCAGACUCCUACGGGAGGGAGCAGUGGGGGAUAUUGGACAGUGGGCGAAAGCCUGAUCCAGCAAUGCCGCGUGAGUGAUGAAGGCCUUAGGGUUGUAAAGCUCUUUUACCCGGGAUGAUAAUGACAGUACCGGGAGAAUAAGCUCCGGCUAACUCCGUG